UCUAUUUCCUGCUGUCGAUAUUUUUUUUCAGCCAGGAUCUCAGAAAGAGUUUUUAUUCGGAUAGUGGGGGGGCUUCUUGUUCUUGAUGUAGAAUCAUCAGCUUUUGAAGGACUGGCUCUCUCGAGUUUAGUUUGCAACUCUCCCCGUUUUUGACUGGCUCUUUCAAGAAGAAUUUCUUCCAAGGUCUUCACAUGGAUGUCACUGACUUUAUUCCCUCUUAUUGUUGCUUCAUCAUUGCUUGGCCUAGUUGGUACGCCUAAUCUCUCCCUCGGAGACUGGGAAAUCUGCAUUUUAUGUGGUGUUUUGUUGAUAUUUGUUUCUGGAGCUUCCACUUUCUUUCCUAGACGCUCUGCCAGGCUCCGCUUUAAUUUGGGAUCACUGUCAUCAUCAGCUGAGAAUUUUCGUUUCCCCAGUCUGUCAGAAAGAUUCAGUCUAACCAAAGGUUCUUCUACUUUGCUUGACAAAGCUACUGUCUUUAGCACAUUUUUAUCACGCUCUUUUUCAGGACCCAGAAUGCUCUGAGGUUGGAUUAGAGGACUGGAAACUCCUGAAGAAACUUCUUGUUGUAAAUUGACACCAGGUUUCUGUGGAGAAGCCACCUGUAAUGCAUUCUGGACUUCAGGAGUUGACAGUAGAGGUGUUUUGGUUUCAUCACCUUUCUUGGAAGACUGGUUAUCAUCAUCUGUGGCAUUAAUUAUAACCUGUCGGUGUUUGGGGUGAGUAAUAUUUUGGUAACUUCCUCCUUUCACACCGGGAACACUCUGCCGCCGAGGAGAGGGGCUAGACUGCACAGAGACUUUGCUGUGUUGAGCUGCUAGCUGGCCUGCCUUUACUUCUUCAGGUGAUGGGAGUGCAGCGGGCACAACGGUUUUGCUUGGAGGUAGGAACAGGCCGUCGACAUUGGGUCGUCCUCUCUCACGGUGUAAAGCACAGUGUAAUUUUUGACAUCCUACUGGAUGAUUUUCCCUGUAGCACGGAAUUUCACUGCGUCGUCCUCUCUCACGGUGUAAAGCACAGUGUAAUUUUUGACAUCCUAGUGGAUGAUUUUCCCUGUAGCACGGAAUUUCACUGCGUCGUCCUCUCUCACGGUGUAAAGCACAGUGUAAUUUUUGACAUCCUACUGGAUGAUGAUUUUCCCUGUAGCACGGAAUUUCACUGCGUCGUCCUCUCUCACGGUGUAAAGCACAGUGUAAUUUUUGACAUCCUACUGGAUGAUUUUCCCUGUAGCACGGAAUUUCACUGCGUCGUCCUCUCUCACGGUGUAAAGCACAGUGUAAUUUUUGACAUCCUACUGGAUGAUGAUGAUUUUCCCUGUAGCACGGAAUUUCACUGCGUCGUCCUCUCUCACGGUGUAAAGCACAGUGUAAUUUUUGACAUCCUACUGGACGAUUUUCCCUGUAGCACGGAAUUUCACUGCGUCGUCCUCUCUCACGGUGUAAAGCACAGUGUAAUUUUUGACAUCCUACUGGACGAUUUUCCCUGUAGCACGGAAUUUCACUGCGUCGUCCUCUCUCACGGUGUAAAGCACAGUGUAAUUUUUGACAUCCUACUGGACGAUUUUCCCUGUAGCACGGAAUUUCACUGCGUCGUCCUCUCUCACGGUGUAAAGCACAGUGUAAUUUUUGACAUCCUACUGGACGAUUUUCCCUGUAGCACGGAAUUUCACUGCGUCGUCCUCUCUCACGGUGUAAAGCACAGUGUAAUUUUUGACAUCCUACUGGACGAUUUUCCCUGUAGCACGGAAUUUCACUGCGUCGUCCUCUCUCACGGUGUAAAGCACAGUGUAAUUUUUGACAUCCUACUGGAUGAUUUUCCCUGUAGCACGGAAUUUCACUGCGUUUAUUUAUUGUCAUGUGCCGGUAUCUACAAAACGGUUGAAAACAGCGUCCUUCCUGCCAGAAUGGGCAAACUGUGUCAUUUCCCCGCGCAGCUUCACAGUGACGGAAUGGGCACGUGUCACCUCUGGUACAGGUAGAGUAGAAAAAAAAAUAGCAAUCUUCUCCUCGACUAGACAUGCUGAAUGAAUUCUCAGAUCAAAGGUGAGGAGGCUUCCUGAAAUAAGCCACUGCCUCCUCGAAGGGAGGACCAGCUCCAAGUCCUCCUAAAAUGGGCUUGAUCUCCUGAUCUUCCAAAUGACAAGCACAAAAUUGUCUUUAAAAUGUAAUCGUUAGCUGGUUAUUCUUAACAGGAACAUCCGGAUCUUCUCUGAGUUCCAAUCUUUUAUUCUCUUAAUACUAGUUAGUCAAUUUUCUAGGAAUUAUUAGGCAAGGGAAUAUCCCCAGUCAAUCUGCUUCUCCGUCGUCGAAGAACAAGUUGGCUUCCAGGGACCCUCAGUCUCCAGGUUUGUUGCGCAACAGAAGGGGGAGGGGAAGAAGUCAUUCUAGAUUGUGAUGCGUGGGGUGGGGGUGGGGAAGGGCAAAGAGAGGGGAGCCAGAAGCCAGCCCACUCUGCCAGGCCUAGAGUCAACGUCACAAUAUCUUAAUCUACAACCAUAACCAUGGCAACUUCCACUUAAACUGAAAUUAUACCAUAAUGAAAAACAAACAAAAAAAGCCACCCACAAACAACAACCAAAAAAUCUGACCAGCCUUUCAAGUGAGCCUUCUACUACAAUGUAUAGUACCACCUUUCCAACCAAACGUAAACAUCAGUGGAGCACAACACCACCCCAGUAUCUGAAACUCUGACCGAAGUCUCGCGCAGCAUUACCAGAGACCUUCAACAAUAACCACCUCUGUGCAACACAACUCGAACCCACGUUAUAACUUUUUCCUCUACUGUAAUGGGUAGAUUCUGGAAUCCAUUUAACUACGGCUAGUGAACUUAUGCCUGCACAGAAAUGCUCACUCCCACUUACUCUGAAAACACUUUUACUGAACUACUACAAGGAUACCCACUUCAUUCAUUUGAAAUUACUACAAAUGCCAUCAGUCCCACCUCAUCCACUGCAACUAAAAGCACAGUAAUUUCUCGUAAGCUCAAUCCGCUUAGAGACAGCAUAAUCACGUCAGUGAAACUAUGAGGAAAACAACUCUUAACUCCAUCUUCCACUGAGCCCUCAACCACAGCACCAGCUGUCACCGAACAGAACCUCCUUCAGUUCCUCUGAGUGGAAAGAAUUAAAUGAAAUACAGGUACCACUGUAUAAAUCAUUGAUUUUGAAAAUAUUACCAUAAUAAAUUUCUCAGAUGCAAAUUAAUUAGGAGAAAAAUUUAUUACUUUAAACGUUAUUUUGAAAAUGGUAAAAGUUAAUGAGUUAAGUAUUAUUUUAAAAUGAUAAAAAAUAUAAAACAUAAAUCGGACACGGUGCACAUCUGUAGUCUUAGCUACUCAGGUGGCUAAAGCAGGAAGAUUUCAAGUUCAAGCAAGCCUGGGCAAUUUAGUGAGACUUGUCUUAAAAAAGGAGAAAAAUUUAUUACUUUAAACGUUAUUUUGAAAAUGGUAAAAGUUAAUGAGUUAAGUAUUAUUUUAAAAUGAUAAAAAAUAUAAAACAUAAAUCGGACACGGUGCACAUCUGUAGUCUUAGCUACUCAGGUGGCUAAAGCAGGAAGAUUUCAAGUUCAAGCAAGCCUGGGCAAUUUAGUGAGACUUGUCUUAAAAAAAAAAAUGACCUGAUGCCUGAUGACUCAGGUGGCUAAAGCAGGAAGAUUUCAAGUUCAAGCAAGCCUGGGCAAUUUAGUGAGACUUGUCUUAAAAAACAAAUGACCUGAUGACCUGGGGAUGUAUCUCUGUGUGAAGGCUCUGGGUUUUAUUUCCCAGUACUGCAAAAAACAAAAGCAAGCAAAUAAAAAACAAAACAAAAACUCAAAACAACAAACAAAACACACACAAAAGGAGAUAAACCCCCC
ensembl:lincRNA